GACGAACGCUGGCGGCGUGCUUAACACAUGCAAGUCGAACGGAAAGGCCCUGCUUUUGUGGGGUGCUCGAGUGGCGAACGGGUGAGUAACACGUGAGUAACCUGCCCUUGACUUUGGGAUAACUUCAGGAAACUGGGGCUAAUACCGGAUAGGAGCUCCUGCUGCAUGGUGGGGGUUGGAAAGUUUCGGCGGUUGGGGAUGGAAUGGCGGCUUAUCAGCUUGUUGGUGGGGUAGUGGCUUACCAAGGCUUUGACGGGUAGCCGGCCUUAGAGGGUGACCGGCCACAUUGGGACUGAGAUACGGCCCAGACUCCUACGGGAGGCAGCAGUGGGGAAUAUUGCACAAUGGGCGGAAGCCUGAUGCAGCAACGCCGCGUGCGGGAUGACGGCCUUCGGGUGGUAAACCGCUUUCGCCUGUGACGAAGCGUGAGUGACGGUAAUGGGUAAAGAAGCACCGGCUAACUACGUG
rnacentral:rRNA from 1 species